rnacentral:rRNA from 1 species
GAUGAACGCUGGCGGCGUGCCUAACACAUGCAAGUCGAGCGAUUCUCUUCGGAGGAGAGCGGCGGACGGGUGAGUAACGCGUGGGUAACCUGCCCUGUACACACGGAUAACAUACCGAAAGGUAUGCUAAUACGGGAUAAUAUGCUUUAGUCGCAUGGCUGAAAUAUCAAAGCUCCGGCGGUACAGGAUGGACCCGCGUCUGAUUAGCUAGUUGGUAAGGUAACGGCUUACCAAGGCGACGAUCAGUAGCCGACCUGAGAGGGUGAUCGGCCACAUUGGAACUGAGACACGGUCCAAACUCCUACGGGAGGCAGCAGUGGGGAAUAUUGCACAAUGGGCGAAAGCCUGAUGCAGCAACGCCGCGUGAGCGAUGAAGGCCUUCGGGUCGUAAAGCUCUGUCCUCAAGGAAGAUAAUGACGGUACUUGAGGAGGAAGCCCCGGCUAACUACGUGCCAGCCGCCGCCGUAA